rnacentral:rRNA from 1 species
UGAAAUCUGGCGUCCUCAGGGCGUCCGAGUUGUAAUCUAUAGAGGCGUUUUCCGUGCCGGACCGUGUCCAAGUUCCUUGGAACAGGAUAUCAAGGAGGGUGACAAUCCCGUACUUGACACGACGACCGGUGCUCUGUGAUACGUCUUCUACGAGUCGAGUUGUUUGGGAAUGCAGCUCAAAAUGGGUGGUGAGUUCCAUCUAAAGCUAAAUAUUGGCGAGAGACCGAUAGCGAACAAGUACCGUGAGGGAAAGAUGAAAAGCACUUUGGAAAGAGAGUUAAACAGUACGUGAAAUUGUUGAAAGGGAAACGAUUGAAGUCAGUCGUGACCGAGAGGCUCAGCCGGUUCUGCCGGUGUAUUCCCCUCGGUCGGGUCAACAUCAGUUUUGUCCGGUGGAUAAGGGCGGUAGGAAGGUGGCACCCUCGGGUGUGUUAUAGCCUGCCGUCGCAUACAUCGGGUGAGACUGAGGAACGCAGCUCGCCUUUAUGGCCGGGGUUCGCCCACGUCCGAGCUUAGGAUGUUGACAUAAUGGCUUUAAACGACCCGUCUU